AUGUUAACAUUUUAUGAUGUUGUUGUUAUUAUUAUCAUCAUCAUAUUUUUUUUUUUUUUUUGUAGACAAACAUGUUUGUUAGAUUUAAGUAUAAUAAGCAGGGCCAACAAUUUUAUGCAUUUUCAUAUUUUUAUUGGUUGAUUAAAAAAAUAGUUUAUGCAAAAAUGUGUUUCAUAACCUAUAAAUACCUAGAUAGGUAUCCUAGACCUUAUAUAGUAUAUAAACAAUUUUGCUUUGCAUAUUUUGGCAUUUUAGGACACAUUUUUAAGAUAUUUUCAAUUGAACCAAAAACUAAAAAAUAAUGGUUUAUAAUUACCAGUAUUUAGCAGGCAAGCUGAUAAUAUACCAACUACCCUUGUUUCAGAUAAAAUAUUAUUUUCUUUUAUAAAUCAUUAUUAGGGUGUGGAUAUUUAUGUAAACAUGUAGUUUGAUCAAAUGCAGAUUUCUUUUAUUUUAUAUAUUUCCACAUAUUUUGAUACAAAUAUAUAUUUUUAAAUAUUUUACCAUAUAUAUUUAUUAAUAGAUUCCUAUUGAAUUUAACAGAAAUAUUGACAUUGAUCAUUAUUAUAUUAAAAGCUAUUAAAAAUAUUCUUUUAAAUAAAAAUGAAAACUAUCAAUAGAUAUUGAUUUUUUACUACCAUGCAUAUAUCAUGUAUGUAAUUCGAAAGCCAUUUAUGUUUAACUCUCCUUUAGUCUUUAACAAUCAAUUUUGAGACCUAUAAUUAUAACUACCAUACAUUUUUAAAUUUGAUAUCUUUAAAUGUACAAGACAAAUAAAUAAAAUUUAACCUUAUCCCAAUUUAAUUUAACUUAAUAAACCUAUAUAUAUACAUAUAUGUAACACUUUUUGUAUGAUUCAAAUUUAAAAUUAAAUUGUUAAGUUAAAUAUUUCAUGUUUUUUAUUACAUAUUUUGACAAAGAUAACAGCUAAAAUACAGUGGACCUUAUAAGACUCGUGGAUAUAAGGUUCAGCCAUUUAUUAGACUCAAAAUCACUCAGAAUGGCCUGGACAUAUCUAAAUACAUUUUAUCUUUUCUCCACUAUAAAGUUCAUUCAGUUAUAAGACCUACUUUGUGCUGGGUCCAAAGUAAAUCUUAUAAGCAUCCACUGUAUUAAUAUAUAUUGACUUUUUAUUACAUAAAAUUCCAUGCCCAAAGGAUUA